rnacentral:lncRNA from 1 species
ACAAAAUGAACAAAGGAGUGAAAGUUUAGCUUUUAUAUUUAGAGUUAAUGGAGAAAUUACAAGACAAGUCUCUCAGUGUUUUCCUAUUAUUAUCGUAGGGCCUUCUGCCUAUUUUAAUUACAACCUAGGUCCUUCCUGUUUUAUAUUAAUUUGAAACUUCGAAAUUUCAGCAUAAUUAAUUGCAGCAUUUGACCGUUCUUUUUUUGAAGAUAAUUUUCAAGAGUUUUUGUUUGUAAAUUUGUAAGUUUAGUCCUGCAAGGUUUUAAACGCUUUAGAAUUUUGAAAUCAUG